rnacentral:rRNA from 1 species
UGUGGAUAGGGGUGAAAGGCCAAUCAAACUUCGUGAUAGCUGGUUCUCUCCGAAAUAUAUUUAGGUAUAGCGUUGUGUCGUAAUAUAAGGGGGUAGAGCACUGAAUGGGCUAGGGCAUACACCAAUGUACCAAACCCUAUCAAACUCCGAAUACCUUAUAUGUAAUCACAGCAGUCAGGCGGCGAGUGAUAAAAUCCGUCGUCAAGAGGGAAACAACCCAGACUACCAGCUAAGGUCCCUAAGUCUUACUUAAGUGGAAAACGAUGUGAAGUUACUUAAACAACCAGGAGGUUGGCUUAGAAGCAGCCAUCCUUUAAAGAAAGCGUAAUAGCUCACUGGUCUAGUGAUUUUGCGCGGAAAAUAUAACGGGGCUAAAGUAAGUACCGAAGCUGUAGACUUAGUUUACUAAGUGGUAGGAGAGCGUUCUAUUUGCGUCGAAGGUAUACCGGUAAGGAGUGCUGGAGCGAAUAGAAGUGAGCAUGCAGGCAUGAGUAGCGAUAAUUAAUGUGAGAAUCAUUAACGCCGUAAACCCAAGGUUUCCUACGCGAUGCUCGUCAUCGUAGGGUUAGUCGGGUCCUAAGUCGAGUCCGAAAGGGGUAGACGAUGGCAAAUUGGUUAAUAUUCCAAUACCAACAUUAGUGUGCGAUGGAAGGACGCUUAGGGCUAAGGGGGCUAGCGGAUGGAAGUGCUAGUCUAAGGUCGUAGGAGGUUAUACAGGCAAAUCCGUAUAACAAUACUCCGAGAACUGAAAGGCUUUUUGAAGUCUUCGGAUGGAUAGAAGAACCCCUGAUGCCGUCGAGCCAAGAAAAGUUUCUAAGUUUAGCUAAUGUUGCCCGUACCGUAAACCGACACAGGUGGGUGGGAUGAGUAUUCUAAGGCGCGUGGAAGAACUCUCUUUAAGGAACUCUGCAAAAUAGCACCGUAUCUUCGGUAUAAGGUGUGGUUAGCUUUGUAUUAGGAUUUACUCCGAAAGCAAGGAAACUUACAACAAAGAGUCCCUCCCGACUGUUUACCAAAAACACAGCACUCUGCUAACUCGUAAGAGGAUGUAUAGGGUGUGACGCCUGCCCGGUGCUCGAAGGUUAAUUGAUGGGGUUAGCAUUAGCGAAGCUCUUGAUCGAAGCCCGAGUAAACGGCGGCCGUAACUAUAACGGUCCUAAGGUAGCGAAAUUCCUUGUCGGUUAAAUACCGACCUGCAUGAAUGGCGUAACGAGAUGGGAGCUGUCUCAAAGAGGGAUCCAGUGAAAUUGUAGUGGAGGUGAAAAUUCCUCCUACCCGCGGCAAGACGGAAAGACCCCGUGGACCUUUACUACAGCUUGACACUGCUACUUGGAUAAGAAUGUGCAGGAUAGGUGGGAGGCUUUGAGUAUAUGACGCCAGUUGUAUAUGAGCCAUUGUUGAGAUACCACUCUUUCUUAUUUGGGUAGCUAACCAGCUUGAGUUAUCCUCAAGUGGGACAAUGUCUGGUGGGUAGUUUGACUGGGGCGGUCGCCUCCCAAAUAAUAACGGAGGCUUACAAAGGUUGGCUCAGAACGGUUGGAAAUCGUUCGUAGAGUAUAAAGGUAUAAGCCAGCUUAACUGCAAGACAUACAAGUCAAGCAGAGACGAAAGUCGGUCUUAGUGAUCCGGUGGUUCUGUGUGGAAGGGCCAUCGCUCAAAGGAUAAAAGGUACCCCGGGGAUAACAGGCUGAUCUCCCCCAAGAGCUCACAUCGACGGGGAGGUUUGGCACCUCGAUGUCGGCUCAUCGCAUCCUGGGGCUGGAGCAGGUCCCAAGGGUAUGGCUGUUCGCCAUUUAAAGCGGUACGCGAGCUGGGUUCAGAACGUCGUGAGACAGUUCGGUCCCUAUCUGCCGUGGGCGUAAGAAGAUUGAAGAGAUUUGACCCUAGUACGAGAGGACCGGGUUGAACAAACCACUGGUGUAGCUGUUGUUCUGCCAAGAGCAUCGCAGCGUAGCUAAGUUUGGAAAGGAUAAACGCUGAAAGCAUCUAAGCGUGAAGCCAACUCUAAGAUGAAUCUUCUCUAAGCUCUCUAGAAGACUACUAGUUUGAUAGGCUGGGUGUGUAAUGGAUGAAAGUCCUUUAGCUGACCAGUACUAAUAGAGCGUUUGGCUUAUCUUUAAUAAAGCAU